rnacentral:rRNA from 1 species
AUUGAACGCUGGCGGAAUGCUUUACACAUGCAAGUCGAACGGCAGCACGGGAGCUUGCUCCUGGUGGCGAGUGGCGAACGGGUGAGUAAUGCGUCGGAACGUGCCGAGUAAUGGGGGAUAACGCAGCGAAAGUUGUGCUAAUACCGCAUACGCCCUGAGGGGGAAAGUGGGGGAUCGCAAGACCUCACGUUAUUCGAGCGGCCGACGUCUGAUUAGCUAGUUGGUGGGGUAAAGGCCUACCAAGGCGACGAUCAGUAGCGGGUCUGAGAGGAUGAUCCGCCACACUGGGACUGAGACACGGCCCAGACUCCUACGGGAGGCAGCAGUGGGGAAUUUUGGACAAUGGGGGCAACCCUGAUCCAGCCAUUCCGCGUGAGUGAAGAAGGCCUCGGUGUAGAGNUCGUUCUAGCUGGGUGAACGGUA